AACAAAAAGGCGUGAGGGGAGCGAGGAAAAGCAUCUCCUAGAAGCAAACCCCCGCCUUUGCGCUUCUUGCAGCAGCGUCGCUACAGCAGACGAUCGCCGUGGCCCCGCAGGAGUAUAACCCCGGCCUCGCGCAACUUCAUAUUCGUAGCCAUGGGCCAUGGCUGCUCACAACGCUACAAGUUCAUCAGAGUGCCUCUUCUUCGCCGCCACAGAUUGGGUGGGCAUGCAGAUGACUUCUAGGUUUUUACGCAUAAUUGCAAAGCAGAUAUCUGAGCAAAGCAGGGAGCUUCUCUUGAGUCACAUAUGCCAAUUUCAUCCUCAUUGACACACUCUCUGAUGGCUCCAUAGUAGUCAUGAACUAUGGCCAAAAUUUUCCUUUCUAUGUAACUUGAAAAUCCUAGGAGAUAAUUAAAGUGAUUCUUUAAUACUAGGAGUAUCCAAAAUGAGGUUCCAUUGUAUAUGUUUGCAGAUGAUAUUGUAUUGAUUGAUGAAACAAAUGGUGAAGUAGAAUCUAACUCACAAUCAUGCAAAGAAGUUUUAGAAUCUAGAAGCUUUAGGAUAAGUAGAAGUGAGACAAAAUAUAUGAAAUGUAAUUUCUAUCAUGGUAGAAGGAAUAUUUGAGACUAAGUUAAACCGAUGAUGAAGAAAUCAAUAGCACUAUUAAAUUUGGAUAUAUUAUGCAAGCCAAAGGAGAAAUUGAAGGUGUAACGCAUAGAGUUAAAAGUAGGUUGGGCAAAAUGGAGAAGUGCUUCAAGUGUGUUGUGUGAUUGUAAAAUACCCUUAAAAUUGAAAAGGAAAUUUGAUAGGACAGUUGUAGGACCCUCUAUGCUAUACGGAUUAGGACGUUGAGGGGCUAAGAAAUAACAUAUCCAUAAAGUAAAAGCUGUCGAGAUGAGAAUGUUAAGAUAAAUGAGUCGUAUAACAUUAAAAUAUAAAUUAAAGAAUGAACAUAUUCGCGGUAAGUUAGACGUAGCUCCUAUAUCUAUCAAAGGAAAUUGCCCAUGCUUGCAUAAAUUGGCGGAAAAGGAUUUAUGUAACUGACUGCACCUAGUGGACUUCAGGCUUGGUUUGUUGUUGCUUGAUCCUCAAACUUCACAAAACUUGAUAAAAACUCAUUUUAAAAAAUUUAUUUUUACUAAUUCCCUGAAAGAAAGAAACUUUCCAGUCUCAAGCUAGAUGAUACUGACAAUGAUUGUUCUCUCUUUUCCUUUCUUGGGUAACUGAUAAACAAUUGUUUUGAAAAAUAGUCUACAUGUACAGCAAUAUCUACUACAAGCAAGCUUGGAGCUUCACUAUGGUGCAUAAUACUAAGGUACAAAAUUAGUCUUACCAAUGUUUUCUUUUUAUCAAACAGCAACUUGUAAAAUCAACUAUUGGUCUAUUUGACAACAUGAAUUUGGAGCUGUGUAUUUGAAUUCAGGGAAUUCAAAUACAAAUAUGCUGUUUGGCUUUCAUUAUAAAGAGUGAAUUUGAAUUUACAGUGAAUUCAUUGUGUAUUUCAACCUACCAAAGACAUGAAUUUCAAAUUACCCAUAAACCUGUGAAUUUCAAAUUAAAAUCCCCUGCUCUAGCAGAACUAUAUCAUCCACACUCCUCCUUAAAUAAAAAUUUUCAUAAUGAUUUUCAUAAUACUCUUAAAAUUGGAAUUUAAUUGAAAAUGAUUUUCUUUUUAAAAAGAAACUCUUUGGGUUUUUUCAAACUUAUCUUUUUUCCAACUAAUUGUUUGUACCAAGGUUUCAUCCUACGUACGACGUGCUGGUUUUCAUUUUCUGUCUUUUACAUAUUUUUUUUCUGGGGAUUCCUAAAUUUCAUGAAGGAGUUCUCUUCUGAUUGUACAUUCUUUCUCUAUCUAAUGAAUUUUUUUUUCUAUAAAAAAAAACUAUAUCAUAUUAUCAUCCGCUUCUGUUCCUGGAAUUUCUGGGCAAGAAUUCUGAGCACAAGCUUCAAGCUCUCUCCAUUGUAGAAGCUCCAACUUUUAGGUAUGGAUCCAUCUUCUCUUUUUCAGUUUGCUUUCUCGUUGGUCUAGGGUUGUCUUUUACAGGCACACAUAUUACAGAGAGUGCACGCCUGAGUGCGAGUUGCAGAGAAAGAGGGGAUGGAGAUUCAUAGGCUGCCAUUUCUGUAAGUUUCAGUCAUUGGCAGAGUCUUGUGAGCUUGCAAUUGCAGUUGAGUAGUGGUGUCUUGGGGCUGAGAUCAUGAAUCCCUCAGGAAGCUGUUGAGGCCCCUUCAGAGCCAAUUGCCUGUCCUUGUCCCACCACGAAGGCCAUCCCCACCAUUGUCUCCGAGACCUCAAGGACUCUGUAGGUCAGCAAAUACAUUUCUCUGUAGUCUGCACUUUUAAUUUGUUUUGUUCAAGUUAGAUCUUGAAGCUUGGGGUUUGUUUGGUGUCUUUUGGGGCUUGGAAUCUUGAUUUUUCUGUGUUUGCAAUUUUUUAUUGGAUAUUUUGAGCUCAGUUAGGUUGUAUAUGCUUUUCUUUUCUGCGUUUAGAUUGUAUAUCCUCUUCUCAAGUUAAAUUUGUGUCACAAUGCUGUGGAUUUUGUGGAUAGCCGGAUAUCCUCAUUUUUAAAUUUGGAACUGUGUAGAUGAGUUGCAGGACAUUCCAUUUAAGGUUUUACUGGACCUUGUGAAGUUGUUAGCAUGAGUCCGGAUGCAUCAAUGUCUUGGGACAAUCAGUCGGAAAAUUGGGGGAGUAUUGGAAAUUCAUUGAGGAGCCAUUAGGCCCAAUUUUACUACUGAUUUUAGCUCCUUGUGAAGAUUUUGUGUUUGAAAGCAUCAAUGGUAAUUCAAAUCAAAAUCCCAUGAAAGAACUUCAAAAAAAAAAAAGAAGAAGAGUAAUAUUAGAUCAAGACGUGAUUGGGUACUGAAUUUCGUUGCCAAUAAGCAAGAAGAGGUACUCAUAAGCUUAGCAAGAAUAUACUUGACAAUGGUGGAUAUGGUAAUGUGUACAAGGGAUGGUUAGAAGAUGGCAUUAUGUUGGCAGUGAAGCGGCUGAAGGAUGUGGCAGGCAUCAUCUAGGAAUUCCAGUUUCAGACAGAAUUGGAGAUGAUUAGCCUGGCUGUACACUGCAGUGUGGCCUCCAUGCUUAGGUUGGUACUUCCUGCUUUGCUGCUACCAUUGCUGGCAACCAAUCAAUGGUUUUCAUUAUUUCCCCUUGAUUGUUACAUGUUACUGUUAAUGUACUUACCAUUUACCAAAUGGAUAUAUCUAGCUAGCUUUGAACUUGCCCAGGACCCUGAUAUGUUUUCCUUCUACAAGGGUCCCAAAAUUCUUAAAAUGGAUCAUUUCCUUCUAUGCCCAUGUAUGUUGACAACAAACUUCUUUUGUAGAAGUACAAUCCUUUGCCUAAUCUACCUCUUUGGAAUGAUUUAAAUAUUUAUUACAGGCUUCCAUGAAA